GGGCGAAGUAGCUGAUUUCACACUGUCAAGAAAAGCUUCUAUCGAGUUUAAAGGCGCCCGUACCGUAAACCGACACAGGUGGGUGAGGAGAGUAUCCUAAGGCCAGCGAGAGAACUAUUGUUAAGGAACUCGGCAAAAUGACCCCGUAACUUAGGGAGAAGGGGUGCCUGUCUAUGACAGGCCGCAGAGAAUAGGCCCAAGCGACUGUUUACCAAAAACACAGGUUUCUGCUAAGUCGCAAGACGAUGUAUAGGAGCUGACGCCUGCCCGGUGCUGGAAGGUUAAGGGGAUCUGUUAGAGCAAUCGAAGCAGUGAACUUAAGCCCCAGUAAACGGCGGCCGUAACUAUAACGGUCCUAAGGUAGCGAAAUUCCUUGUCGGGUAAGUUCCGACCCGCACGAAAGGCGUAACGAUUUGGGCACUGUCUCAACAAUAGACUCGGUGAAAUUGUAAUCCCGGUGAAGAUGCCGGGUACCUGCGACAGGACGGAAAGACCCCAUGGAGCUUUACUGUAGCUUGACGUUGGGUCUUGGUACUACAUGUACAGGAUAGGUGGGAGACUAUGAAGCAUGGACGCCAGUCUGUGUGGAGUCAUCCUUGGGAUACCACCCUUGUAGUACUGGGAUCCUAACCAUAGGCCUUGAAUCAGGUCUUGGAACACCGUCAGGUGGGCAGUUUGACUGGGGCGGUCGCCUCCUAAAAAGUAACGGAGGCGCUCAAAGGUUUCCUCAGCACGGUCGGAAAUCGUGCGAAGAGUGUAAAGGUAAAAGGAAGCUUGAUUGCAAGACAUACAGGUCGAGCAAGGACGAAAGUCGGACUUAGUGAUCCGGUGGUACCGCAUGGAAGGGCCAUCGCUCAACGGAUAAAAGCUACCCUGGGGAUAACAGGCUUAUCUCCCCCAAGAGUCCACAUCGACGGGGAGGUUUGGCACCUCGAUGUCGGCUCAUCACAUCCUGGGGCUGUAGUAGGUCCCAAGGGUUGGGCUGUUCGCCCAUUAAAGUGGUACGCGAGCUGGGUUCAGAACGUCGUGAGACAGUUCGGUCCCUAUCCGUCGCAGGCGUAGGAAAUUUGAGAAGACCUGUCCUUAGUACGAGAGGACCGGGAUGGACGUACCUCUGGUGUACCAGUUGUUCUGCCAAGGGCAUGGCUGGGUAGCUAUGUACGGAAUGGAUAAGCGCUGAAAGCAUCUAAGCGCGAAGCCAACUUCAAGAUAAGAUUUCCCACCGUAAGGGUA
rnacentral:rRNA from 1 species